UCAUAGGUCCUCCCGGCCUCACAGCCGGCGA
rnacentral:sRNA from 1 species